rnacentral:tmRNA from 1 species
GGGGGCGUAAAGGUUUCGACGGGGGUCUUGAAGCAUGAAUAGCGGGUAGAUGCGCCCGGCCAUCUAUAAAACGGGUAAAAACAAUAAACGCUAACAAUUCUAAAUUAGCUUACGCUGCUUAAUUAAGCAGCCGUUCUGCCGUUGAGUACCGCGGCUUCGGUAAGGGCGUCGAUUAGCGGUGAACGACAGGCGGGAGCUUUUUCCGUACCGCCGCCGUAACAGGAAAAUACCGACGCGGACAGUUUGAACGCUGUCCGCCCUUUUCGGGAAACUUAAACACCGUUCUGCACCCGGAGAAGUUUGUGUGAAUGGGCUUUCGGACAGGGGUUCGACUCCCCUCUCCGUGA